rnacentral:lncRNA from 1 species
UGUACAGUAGUAAGAGUUAGAGUGUAGUAAGGAAGUGGAAAGAAUGCAGUGGGAAUCCAGGAGUGGAAACCUCCUCGGUGAGAUCCAGGAAACAUUACAGUCUUGCUGAGUUGGUAGAAGCAAGGAGCAUGAUCAAUGUAAGCAAGGCAAGAAAGCUUUUGGUCUUUAGGAAGCUGUGGAUUAAGACAGAGGUCCUCAAAUUAUUGUCUUUGAAAAACGUAUAGUAUUUUUAAUAUGAUCAUUUCAAGUGAUGCUAAAGCUGUUGUCCCAGACCACAGUGGAAGUAGCAGGAUCUGGGGUGGGAGCUCUGGCUAUAGACUAGAGAGGCCAUCACAGGUACAGUUGCAGAAAUCUGCAGAAUAUUCUCUGGGUUCAUUUAUUCAGGCUUCCCUUUUGUGUUCCUUCAUGCUUAAUCACCUACAGGUAUUCUG